rnacentral:rRNA from 1 species
GAUGAACGCUAGCUACAGGCUUAACACAUGCAAGUCGAGGGACCGGCGCACGGGUGAGUAACACGUAUCCAACCUGCCCUUUACUCGGGGAUAGCCUUUCGAAAGAAAGAUUAAUACCCGAUAUAAAGGAUGGGGCUGCGUUCCAUUAGGUUGGUGGUGAGGACACGGUCCACCAAGCCUUCGAUGGAUAGGGGUUCUGAGAGGGAGGUCCUCCACAUUGGAACUGGGACACGGUCCAAACUCCUACGGGAGACAGCAGUGAGGAAGAUUUGUCAAUGGGCGUUAGCCUGCACCAGCCAAGUAGCGUGAAGGAUGAAUGCUUAUGGGUCGUAAACUUCUUGUAUAUAAGAAUAUGUAUUAUAUGAAUAAGGAUCGGCUAACUCCGUGCCAGCAGCCGCGGUAAUUC